rnacentral:lncRNA from 1 species
CGGAAAAACCACCUCAGUUGGGGCGGAGGGUUAGUUUUAAGAGCAAGGGGCCUUUACUAAAAUGGCGAAGGCCUUCCGUCGGCGUUGUUUUAAAAUGGGAAGCCUCGACCCAGUAUUGAGACAGCUGUUCGAAGGCGGCGUUGUGUGCAAUUCGGAUUAAUGAAGGGGAAGGGUUUUGUGUGGAAAAACACCUUGGAGUGUGACAUUUCUGCGAGAAUGCUUAAAUACCGAUUUCCCGCAGGAACAAUGGCGCUGUCUUCAGUGGCACAGCGGAGCAGUUCUGUGAAGAUGCAAAGUUGGUUGAAUCCGUGGACAUGAAACCCACAGAUACAGAGGGUCGGCCCGGUGCAGUGGCUCACGCCUGUAAUCCCAGCACUUUGGGAGGCCAAGGCAGGUGGAUCACCUGAGGUCAGAAGCUCGAGACCAGCCUGGCCAACAUGGUAAAACCCCAUCUCUACUAAUAAUACAAAAAAAAUUGCUGGGCAUGGUGGCGCACGCCUGUAAUCCAAGCUACUCCAGAGGCUGAGGCAGAAGAAUCGCUUGAAUCCGAGAGGCAGAGGUUGCAGUGAGCCCAGAUCACACCACUGCUCUCCAACCUGGGCAACAAGAGCAAAACUCCGUCAAAAAAAAAAAAAUAGAGGGUCAACUGUACACAUUAAACAGUUCCUAUCAAC